UUUCAGAGGAAGAAAAUGUAUCUGUUUAUACUAAGUAUUUAAAAAUCACCUACGGAUUUGCUCUAAUUGUCAGUUUCUCCAAAAUUAUUAUUGUUUCUUAAUCUCUUAACAAGUAAUUAUAAAUAGAUGUGUUGUUAUGAAAAAUAAGAAAGAUAUUCGGUGUUUCCUGUAUUUCAUAAACACCACGUCAUUUUCUUUAUCAAAAUUUCCAUUGAAAGAUUGUAAGAGCAUUAGGCCACCUUCUGGGCUUAAGUGUGUAUGAGAAGAAGCCACAACUUCUUUUCCCUCUGGAUCACCUCAGGUCUUACUUUACAAUGUUACAAAUCCACACGAGAUUAAUAUUCAAAUCCGUGAACAUAUCUUUGUUUUCAUUUGUGGUAAAGGAUCUUUUAUUGUAGGUGCUGCUUAAUGCUGAAUAGGCUUGAAAAAGAUGUAUCUUCAAGUACAGGUGUAAACAACAUGUGAUUUCAUUAAGAUAGACGUAGCUAUAUUGCAAUGAUGGCAGUUUGGUCAGUUUCAUAGGUCAACAAACAUCUGUCAGGGUAAGACCUCAUGCUCUGAAUAUGCAGGCAGUCUUAUAAUUCUGACUAUACAUAUGUUUAUUUUUUGUAACUUAAGCAAAAUUUUUAGACCCUGGAGUGCAGUGACACAAUCAUAGCUCACUGCAGCCUCAACCUCCUGGUCUCAAGCAAUCCUCCCACCUAAGCCUCCCAAGUAGCUGGGACUACAGGCGCAUGCCACCAUGCCAGGUGUUUUAACUUGGCUUAUAAACUCUAUCAGAUCUGUUAUUACAGAGAACUGAAGUAAUCCAAAAGAAAAGUAUUCGGAGACUUUGAGUAGAUUCUCAAAACAACAGACACCCAAAUGCUGAAACAUUGACGCCCUCGCUACAGUCAGUACAGGAAAAUGUGAAUAUUAUCCUGGAUGCCAUCAUAGUGAUACAAGUUGCAAAGGUGAGAGCUUGUAUUUGUCAAAGUGUAGAAGUGGUUCUUCUUACAUCAUAAAACAUGGAUGCUAACAUCUAGAUGACUUACCUUAAAAUCCCAUUUUUUUCUCUUUUGAUCAUAAUAAUGCAUUUUGUGGUACAAAUAAGAGAGGCUAUUUUCUUUGCCAAAAUAGCUUGAGAGUGAUCAGAGCCGAGAUAUGGAAACUAUGGAAUACCUCAUAUUUCUUCUCCUGAAAGCUGAUUACCCAGAUAUCCAAAUUCAUUAUUCUGUAGUUUAUUCUCAGUGUAUUUUCCUAAGAUUUGGAAAUUAGACAAGUUCAUACAUGGGGCCCAGAGUUUCAAGCACUUCCUGUAUUAACAGUAGAUUACAAAGAUAGCAUGAAAAAUCGGAAAAGAAUUGAAGAUGCCAACUAACGCACCUAAAAAUCAAUUUCAUGAACUUGUCAUGUUGAAAAGUCAAAUAGAAAAUAAUUUAUGUGUGAUAUCAGUACCAUCUUUUCCUUUUUUUCUUAAAACAAAAAUUUCCCUUUUAUUUAAAGAAAAGAGAAAAAUAAGAGAAAAUAAAGUAUAUGAAGAAUCACACUCAGAAAUUGCUUCUUCCUGUCGUGCCUCAGGGAUGUGAAGCAAAAAAAUAACAGGCAUAUUGAUCAUAAAGCUGACAGGUUAUUGGUGACUCUAAGAGAUCUAUUGUCCCAUCCCCAACUAGCAGCAAAAGUUCUGAUGACAUGUGAAUUGAUAUGAAAUCAGGUUUCAUAGUGAUUUCAAAGAAGGUUUUCAGUUUAGUUCAGGGCUGAAGGAAAUGUCUGUUUCUUUGGAGAGGAAAGAUGAUGUGACAUAGUGAUUGAGUCUUGAACCAGGGGCCAGAGUACGUGGGUUCUUCCCUCAAUCUCACCUCUUGGGUUCUUUGUGACUUGCUAUCUCUGAUCUUCCAUUCUUUCCUUCUUAAAGAAUAGUGCGUGCCAUGCCUGCAUCAAAAGAGUCUUGCGAGGAAGAUCCAGUGAGGAAAUGUGUAUAAUUGCCUAAUAAUAUAUAAACAGUACUGUGCAAGUAGAAGGUGUCAUUAAUAACAUCAGAAUGCCUUUGCGAUUACAAAUGUGGGUGACACUGUGUGCAUGAGUACUGCAGGAUGUGGCGUCCAAUCACAUGGUGGCCCUCCCCGGUGACUCAAGAAAGGAUGCACAUCUCAGCACUGAAGGAGACCUGAUUUUUCUAAAGUGAAGAAGUAAAAAUGAUGCCAGAGACCAAACUGCAGUAUAACAUUAUUCAUGGGGGAGUCUGUAUCACAGGACAUUUAAAGGGAGAAAACUUACGUAUAAAAAAAGAAAAUGUGCUUUCAACUAGAACAGCAAGAAAAAUGAUUUUUUUUAAUUCCAGUAAAAAUUUAAGCCAAAACGAAACAAGAGAAACUUCAGGAGUCUACCAAUCCUAGUUGUAAUCCUUUUGAAAAACAGGAAAACUUGAGAACAAGAGAACAAACAAGGUAGAACAAAGUUGUUUUUACUGGUCUAACAUCCUCUGUAGUAUUAAUUAGAUACAUGAAACACCCAGAAGGAGAACUAAGUGAGAGAAAGAGAAGGAAAGGCAAAUUUAAAGGAUGUGACUCCUGUUCUGUGGAGCAGACUCGCUUUAGCAUCCUCUUCUGUUUAUUAAAUAUUGUGUGCAAAUGUCUGGGGUGCCAGCUACGUUAUGGAGUUCUUGGAGAUAUGUUCUACAGUGAUCUUUCAGAUAAAAGCCCUUCUUUUUUAGAUGAGAAGUUUAACUGAGUUAACUAAGUUUUAAUCAAUUAAUUUAAUCUUGUCCUACUUGGACUAGAAUUUAGAUGAUGUCCUGAUUUCUCAUCUUUUUGCCACCUUUCAUGGUUUUUCACAUUUAUAAGAUAAGAUCAUUUAAUUAUGGGACAGUGAUUUCAACUCAUUUUUGGAUUCGUCUAGCCAUCUACACUCAAAAUCGUAGUGUGGCACAUACCUCUAAUAUUCAUAUAUAAGCCCAAAUUAACUAUAUCGUAAUAAUUUUGUUAUAUCCCUUGAGAUACAAUAUACAAAAGCAAGAGAUAGAAUUUAUGGUUGUAUUUGCCCAUGUGAAGUUACUGAAGUUUGAACAAUAAAUAGCUAACAAAAAUAAAUUUAAAAGAAUUUCAGAUAAUUAAACUCAACAUUAUUUUAAGGAGCUACAGUGGCAGGGAUUCCAGGCCAAAUCACAUUGUAAAGAUAGAUAGAUAGAUAGAUAGA
rnacentral:lncRNA from 10 species